rnacentral:rRNA from 1 species
UGGGGAAUCUUGCGCAAUGGGCGAAAGCCUGACGCAGCCAUGCCGCGUGAGUGAUGAAGGCCUUAGGGUUGUAAAACUCUUUCACCGGGGACGAUAAUGACGGUACCCGGAGAAGAAGCCCCGGCUAACUUCGUGCCAGCAGCCGCGGUAAUACGAAGGGGGCUAGCGUUGCUCGGAAUUACUGGGCGUAAAGGGCGCGUAGGCGGAUCAGCAAGUUGGGGGUGAAAGCCCGGGGCUCAACCUCGGAAUUGCCUUCAAAACUGCUGAUCUAGAGUACGGGAGAGGUGUGUGGAACUCCGAGUGUAGAGGUGAAAUUCGUAGAUAUUCGGAAGAACACCAGUGGCGAAGGCGACACACUGGCCCGUUACUGACGCUGAGGCGCGAAAGCGUGGGGAGCAAACAGGAUUAGAUACCCUGGUAGUCCACGCUGUAAACGAUGAUUGCUAGUUGUCGGCAGGCAUGCCUGUCGGUGACGCAGCUAACGCAUUAAGCAAUCCGCCUGGGGAGUACGGUCGCAAGAUUAAAACUC